GGGGAGCUACGCUAACCUGGCAGACUACCAGCCUUGGGCGCUGGCGAUCGGAGUUCAAAUCUCCGGCUCCCCG
rnacentral:tRNA from 1 species